UGCUUAUACCCUACCCUAAUCACGCCUCCUCUGCUUUUUUUUUCUCUCUAACACCUAGUCUCUCAUUCUCUCUAUCUCUCUGUCACAGUCUCUCAGCUCUCUCUCCCUCAUGACUAUACUCUCUAGUUUGACUGUAAAACCAUGACUAAGCCUACAGAAACAGUUUAGUCUCUCGCCACUCUCUUUCGUUGAGUCGCUGAAGCACUAUUGACGACGCCCCUGCUGAAGCAAGAACCCAAGCAACCUAGCUGCUCAAGAAGUCGUACUUCUCUGUGCUGCUUAGAGAUCCAUUCGAUGACAAUGUAAUCCCCAUUCUAGAGGAACUUCAAAGACGUUUACCUUUAACAAGCGCCAGUCCUAAAGGCCAUGGUGAAGAAGAAGAGAAAGCCUCAGGGGUGAUGAAACCAAAACCAGCGAAGAAAAUGAUUAGCAGCCGCAAUUUGGAUAGAGUGCAUAGACUAAAAAGUUCAAUGACAAGAUUGACAAAUCGGGUCCAAAAGGACAGACAAACUAGUCUGGAAUUCUGAAAAAAAGCUUCUUUUGGAAAAAGAUGGACCUCAUGUUGCAAGGAUAUCUGUGUUUGAGUGGCUUCAUUGGAUUUUAAAUUGGAAGGAAACUUUAUUUCCAACAGUUUGCAAGAGAGUGUCAAGAAUCACACAUUUGGAUCUGGUGAAAUUAUUGUAGAAGGCUAUUUUGUUUCAAGUGACCCAAAUGAUGAGGUUCACCAUGUUCCUCUUGGGCCUAGUGCUAUGAAAGUGGGGAUAGAUCUUGUGAGAAAGAAUGAUGCAUUUCUGUGGAGGCCUUCAGGAGUUAUGCCUACUAUAGAAGAUGUUAUAGGUAGUAUAAUUGCAUGGCUAGCUGAUAAAGUCAUAAUUAGCAAAUCAACCCACAACAAAGAUAAGUGCACAAUGGAUGAUGAAUUGAAGGAUGGAGCAAGUUUCAUGGUUUACUUUUUGUGUAUCUUGCUAUGUUUUUGUUUUCAUUUUUUAAGUAAAAGAUGUUCAAGAUUAUAGAACUUUAUUAUGUAUGCUUUCAAACUUAAGUUAGAACUAAGAUCUCAUGAAGUAGCCACAGUCAUGGUUUGAAUUAGUUCGUGUUUAAUGUAAUACUUAUGGUUUAUCAAUCUAUUUAAUAUUUCAUUUUGU